rnacentral:rRNA from 1 species
ACGCGUAUGAAAGACAAGCUGAAAGACUUUUCUCAAUGACGUAAGUGGUGGUGCAUGGUCGUUCUUAGUUCGUGGAUUGAUUUGUCUGGUUUAUUCCGAUAACGAGCGAGACCCCAACGUUCCUAAUAGGAGCACCAGCCCGGCUCGACCGCUCCGGCGGACUUGCUAGCAGGUGUCUCUCUAGCUUCUUAGACGUAUCAGAGCCGAUAAGGUUCUUGAAAUGGGUUAAUAACAGGUCAGUCAUGCCCUUAGAUGUUCUGGGCCGCACGCGCGUUACAAUGGUAGCCAUCAGAAAGUGCCUGCAAAGGGUGUCUCCGUGGCCGAAAGGCUGCGGUAACCCAUAGUCGCUCCCUUGACUGGGCCAGACUAUUGCAAUUAUUGGUCUCAAACGAGGAAUUUUUAGUAUACGCAGGUCAUUAACCUGCGCGGA